GAUGAACGCUGACAGAAUGCUUAACACAUGCAAGUCAACCUGUGGCGGACGGGUGAGUAACACGUAAGGAACUUGCCUCACCGCUAGGGACAACAUUUGGACACGAAUGCUAAUACCAAAUACUGUGAGAGAGCUUUGCGUCCCAUUAGCUAGUUGGGGAGGGAACGGGUCACCAAGGCGAGGAUGGGUAGCCGGCCUGAGAGGGUGAUCGGCCACAAGUGGACUGGGACGCGGGCCGUGCUCAUACGGGAGGCAGCAGUGGGGACUAGUGGACGAUGUGCCGAUGUAUGAUCAAGCAAUUCGGUGUGUAAGAUGAAGUUGUCGGAAUGUAAAGUGCUUUGAGUAGGGAAGCGGUACCAACAGAAGAAGUGCCGGCUAAAUCCGUGCCAGCCGCCGCGGUAAUAC
rnacentral:rRNA from 1 species